rnacentral:rRNA from 1 species
UAGGGAAUCUUCGGCAAUGGACGAAAGUCUGACCGAGCAACGCCGCGUGAGUGAAGAAGGUUUUCGGAUCGUAAAACUCUGUUGUUAGAGAAGAACAAGGACGUUAGUAACUGAACGUCCCCUGACGGUAUCUAACCAGAAAGCCACGGCUAACUACGUGCCAGCAGCCGCGGUAAUACGUAGGUGGCAAGCGUUGUCCGGAUUUAUUGGGCGUAAAGCGAGCGCAGGCGGUUUCUUAAGUCUGAUGUGAAAGCCCCCGGCUCAACCGGGGAGGGGCAUUGGAAACUGGGAGACUUGAGUGCAGAAGAGGAGAGUAGAAUUCCAUGGGUGGCGGUGAAAUGCGUAGAUAUAUGGAGGAACACCAGGGGCGAAGGCGGCUCUCUGGUCUGUAACUGACGCUGAGGCUCGAAAGCGUGGGGAGCAAACAGG